rnacentral:rRNA from 1 species
GACGAACGCUGGCGGCGUGCUUAACACAUGCAAGUCGAACGGUGAAAGCGGAGCUUGCUCCGCUGGAUCAGUGGCGAACGGGUGAGUAACACGUGGGCAACCUGCCCCUCACUUCGGGAUAACUCCGGGAAACCGGGGCUAAUACCGGAUAUGACCUCCUUGGGCAUCCUUGGAGGUGGAAAGUUUUUCGGUGAGGAAUGGGCCCGCGGCCUAUCAGCUUGUUGGUGAGGUAGUGGCGCACCAAGGCGACGACGGGUAGCCGGCCUGAGAGGGCGACCGGCCACACUGGGACUGAGACACGGCCCAGACUCCUACGGGAGGCAGCAGUGGGGAAUAUUGCGCAAUGGGCGAAAGCCUGACGCAGCAACGCCGCGUGCGGGAUGACGGCCUUCGGGUUGUAAACCGCUUUCAGCAGGGAAGAAGCCGCAAGGUGACGGUACCUGCAGAAGAAGCACCGGCUAUCUACGUGCCAGCAGCCGCCGCUG